UGACUUCAGUAUACGGAAGUAAUCAACAUAUAAUUCACGGACAAAUGAAUUCUAUUGAUUCGGUGUGGCUUCACCUUUUACGAAAGCUUGAUCCAAUCUUUGGUGAAAAAUAUGAUUCAUAUGCAUUUAGAGUAAUAAGUAUGAAAAAAAUGCCAUUGCCUAAAGAGCAAAUACCUGUAUAUUAUGGAGAAGGAAAAUUUUAUUGUAAGCUAAAUUUAAAUUCUUUUAAUUGAGUUUUUUAAAAAUAGUGUAAUACGUAUUAAGACUUAUACUGUAUAAAAA